rnacentral:rRNA from 1 species
GAAAGUAAGCAAGGGCAGACGGUGGAUGCCUUGGCUCUCGGAGGCGACGAAGGACGUGAUAAGCUGCGAAAAGCCCGGGGGAGGCGCAAAUAGCCGUUGAUCCCGGGAUAUCCGAAUGGGGCAACCCGGCAGGCUGAAGGCCUGUCAUCCCGUAAGGGAGGCGAACGUGGGGAACUGAAACAUCUAAGUACCCAUAGGAGGAGAAAAUAAACAAUGAUUCCGUAAGUAGUGGCGAGCGAACACGGAAGAGCCCAAACCCAUGUCGUCUAGGCGACACGGGGGUUGUAGGACCACGACGUGGCAAGAUAGAGUCAAGUGGAACGCCUUGGAAAAGGCGGUCAUAGAGGGUGAAAACCCCGUACACGACUGACGAUUGAAGCCUAGUGGUAUCCUGAGUAGCGCGGGGCACGAGAAAUCUUGCGUGAAACAGCGGGGCCCAUCCCGUAAGGCUAAAUACUCCCGAGAGACCGAUAGCGAACCAGUACCGUGAGGGAAAGGUGAAAAGAACCCCGAGCAGGGGAGUGAAAUAGACCCUGAACCCGUCUGCCUACAAGCGGUCGGAGCAUAGCAAUAUGUGACGGCGUGCCUUUUGCAUAAUGAACCUACGAGUUACCUUCCCCGGCAAGGUUAAGUACCUAAGGUACGGAGCCGAAGCGAAAGCGAGUCUGAAGAGGGCGGCCAGUCGGGGGGGGUAGACGCGAAACCGAGUGAUCUACCCUUGGCCAGGUUGAAGGUUGGGUAACACCAACUGGAGGACCGGAUGGGUAAGCGUUGAAAAGCUUUCCAAUGAGCUGAGGGUAGGGGUGAAAGGCUAAUCAAACUCGGAGAUAGCUCGUACUCCCCGAAAUGCAUUUAGGUGCAGCCUCUUUAUAGUAUAUCGUGAGGUAGAGCGACUGAUUGGAUGCGAGGGCUUCACCGCCUAUCAAGUCCAGAUAAACUCCGAAUGCGCGAUAUAUAUUUACAGGGAGUGAGGGCGCGGGUGCUAAGGUCCGUGUCCGAGAGGAGAAGAAUCCAGACCACCGGCUAAGGCCCCCAAAUGAUCGUUGAGUUGAACUAACGAGGUCGGAUCGCAGAGACAGCUAGGAUGUUGGCUUGGAAGCAGCCAUUCAUUUAAAGAGUGCGUAACAGCUCACUAGUCGAGCGAUCUGGCGUGGAUAAUAAUCGGGCAUAAACGAUCUGCCGAAGCCGUGGAUGUCGUAAGACAUGGUAGGGGAGCAUUCCAUGCGGCGUCGAAGAUGAGGGAUGACCCUUGUUGGAGCGCAUGGAAAAGCAAAUGUAGGUAUGAGUAACGAUAAGGGGGGCGAGAAACCCCCCCGCCGAAAGACCAAGGUUUCCUGAUCAACGCUAAUCGGAUCAGGGUGAGUCGGGACCUAAGGCAAAGCCGAACGGCGCCGCCGAUGGAAGAAUGGGUUAAUAUUCCCAUACUGCCUCAUGGAGUGACGUGGAGACGGAGAAGUGACAGUCCUGCCGGCUGACGGAAUAGCCGGUUGAAGGGUGUAGAUAUUGAUUCCCGUAGGCAAAUCCGCGGGGAGAGUCGAACCUGACAGUAUACCGAGUACUUGUACGAGGUAAUAUGGACGUAACCAUGCUCCCAAGAAAAUCCGCUAAACUUAUCCAUGCGGCACCCGUACCGUAAACGGACACACGUGGUCGGGUUGAGAAUACUGAGGCGCUCGAGUGACUCACGGUUAAGGAACUAGGCAAAUUGACCCUGUAACUUCGGGAUAAAGGGUCCUCGUCGUAAGGCGAGGCGCAGAGAAUAGGUCCAGGCAACUGUUUAACAAAAACACAUGGCUGUGCUAAAUGGAAACAUGACGUAUACAGCCUGACACCUGCCCGGUGCUGGAAGGUUAAGAGGAGAUGUCAUCGCAAGAGAAGCGUUGAAUUGAAGCCCCAGUAAACGGCGGCCGUAACUAUAACGGUCCUAAGGUAGCGAAAUUCCUUGUCG